AGUGAACGCUGGCGGUAGGCCUAACACAUGCAAGUCGAACGGCAGCACAGUGAGAGCUUGCUCUUACGGGUGGCGAGUGGCGGACGGGUGAGGAAUACAUCGGAAUCUACUUUUUCGUGGGGGAUAACGUAGGGAAACUUACGCUAAUACCGCAUACGACCUACGGGUGAAAGCAGGGGAUCUUCGGACCUUGCGCGAUUGAAUGAGCCGAUGUCGGAUUAGCUAGUUGGCGGGGUAAAGGCCCACCAAGGCGACGAUCCGUAGCUGGUCUGAGAGGAUGAUCAGCCACACUGGAACUGAGACGCGGUCCAGACUCCUACGGGAGGCAGCAGUGGGGAAUAUUGGACAAUGGGCGCAAGCCUGAUCCAGCCAUACCGCGUGGGUGAAGAAGGCCUUCGGGUUGUAAAGCCCUUUUGUUGGGAAAGAAAAGCAGCAGGUUAAUACCCCGCUGUUCUGACGGUACCCAAAGAAUAAGCACCGGCUAACUUCGUG
rnacentral:rRNA from 1 species